rnacentral:rRNA from 1 species
UAGGGAAUCUUCCACAAUGGACGCAAGUCUGAUGGAGCAACGCCGCGUGAGUGAAGAAGGUUUUCGGACCGUAAAGCUCUGUUGUUGGUGAAGAAGGAUAGAGGUAGUAACUGGCCUUUAUUUGACGGUAAUCAACCAGAAAGUCACGGCUAACUACGUGCCAGCAGCCGCGGUAAUACGUAGGUGGCAAGCGUUGUCCGGAUUUAUUGGGCGUAAAGCGAGCGCAGGCGGAAGAAUAAGUCUGAUGUGAAAGCCCUCAGCUUAACCGAGGAAUUGCAUCGGAAACUGUUUUCUUGAGUGCAGAAGAGGAGAGUAGAACUCCAUGUGUAGUGGUGGAAUGCGUAGAUAUAUGGAAGAAUACCAGUGGCGAAGGCGGCUCUCUGGUCUGCAACUGACGCUGAGGCUCGAAAGCAUGGGUAGCGAACAGGAUUAGAUACCCUGGUAGUCCAUGCCGUAAACGAUGAGUGCUAAGUGUUGGGAGGCUUCCGCCUCUCAGUGCUGCAGCUAACGCAUUAAGCACUCCGCCUGGGGGAGUACGACCGCAAGGUUGAAAC